rnacentral:lncRNA from 1 species
GGGGUACGAGGCAAUCCCCAAGUCUAUUCAUGUGUAUAUAUAUCAUAGAGGUUGAAGGGUAAAAGGGAAUCUUCGGCCAUCUAUGGUAUUUCUAGUUUGUGUGACUACAUGUACUGGGGCCCUUUCAGGCUGUAAUACUUGACCUUUAUAGCCCGUGGGUGAAAUUAUAAUGGUAAAUCUACACAAUCGAGGUUAAGGUUUCAAAAUGCAUGCUACCCUUCUUCCCUAUCUCGGC